CCCUUAGACGUUCUGGGCCGCACGCGCGCUACACUGACACAGGCAACGAGCUUUCCUUUACCGAAAGGUAUGGGUAAUCUUUUGAAACUGUGUCGUGCUGGGGAUAGAUCCUUGCAAUUUUUGAUCUUAAACGAGGAAUUCCUAGUAAGCGCGAGUCAUCAACUCGCGUUGAUUACGUCCCUGCCCUUUGUACACACCGCCCGUCGCUACUACCGAUUGAACGGUUUAGUGAGGGCCUCGGAUUGGUCUCGGCCCGCUCUUCACCGGGCGGCGCCGUUGGUCGAGAAGACGCUCGAACUUGAUCGUUUAGAGGAAGUAAAAGUCGUAACA
rnacentral:rRNA from 1 species